rnacentral:rRNA from 1 species
AUUGAACGCUGGCGGCAGGUCUAACACAUGCAAGUCGAGCGGAUGAAGAGAGCUUGCUCUCUGAUUCAGCGGCGGACGGGUGAGUAAUGCCUAGGAAUCUGCCUGGUAGUGGGGGACAACGUUUCGAAAGGAACGCUAAUACCGCAUACGUCCUACGGGAGAAAGCAGGGGACCUUCGGGCCUUGCGCUAUCAGAUGAGCCUAGGUCGGAUUAGCUAGUUGGUGAGGUAAUGGCUCACCAAGGCGACGAUCCGUAACUGGUCUGAGAGGAUGAUCAGUCACACUGGAACUGAGACACGGUCCAGACUCCUACGGGAGGCAGCAGUGGGGAAUAUUGGACAAUGGGCGAAAGCCUGAUCCAGCCAUGCCGCGUGUGUGAAGAAGGUCUUCGGAUUGUAAAGCACUUUAAGUU